UACCAUCCUUGCUGUGGUGUCCAGA
rnacentral:misc_RNA from 1 species